CCUACGGGGCGCAGCAGUGAGGAAUAUUGGUCAAUGGACGCAAGUCUGAACCAGCCAUGCCGCGUGCAGGAAGACGGCUCUAUGAGUUGUCAACUGCUUUUGUACGAGGGUAAACGCAGAUACGCGUAUCUGUCUGAAAGUAUCGUACGAAUAAGGAUCGGCUAACUCCGUGCCAGCAGCCGCGGUAAUACGGAGGAUUCAAGCGUUAUCCGGAUUUAUUUGGUUUAAAGGGUGCGUAGGCGGUCGGAUAAGUUAGAGGUGAAAUCCCGAGGCUCAACUUCGGAAUUGCCUCUGAUACUGUUCGGCUAGAGAGUAGUGGCGGUAGGCGGAAUGUAUGGUGUAGCGGUGAAAUGCUUAGAGAUCAUACAGAACACCGAUUGCGAAGGCAGAUUACCAAGCUACUUCUGACGUUGAGGCACGAAAGCGUGGGGAGCAAACAGGAUUAGAUACCCCUGUAGUC
rnacentral:rRNA from 1 species